rnacentral:piRNA from 1 species
UAUGUGAAUAAUUUCAGUACA